rnacentral:rRNA from 1 species
AUACGAAGGGGGCAAGCGUUGUUCGGAAUAACUGGGCGUAAAGCGCACGUAGGCGGAAUGUUAAGUUAGAGGUGAAAUCCCAGGGCUCAACCCUGGAACUGCCUUUAAUACUGGCAAUCUAGAGACCGAGAGAGGUGAGUGGAAUUCCGAGUGUAGAGGUGAAAUUCGUAGAUAUUCGGAGGAACACCAGUGGCGAAGGCGGCUCACUGGCUCGGUACUGACGCUGAGGUGCGAAAGCGUGCGGAGCAAACAGGAUUAGAAACCCCAGUAGUCC